UCCUCCGUGGCGCAAUUGGCUAGCGCGUCUGACUGUUAAACCAACUGGUUCGGCGAUCAGGAGGUUCGUGGUUCGAGCCCACGCGGGGGAG
rnacentral:tRNA from 1 species